rnacentral:rRNA from 1 species
CCCGCCGCGACCGGCGCACGGGUGAGUAACACGUAUGAAACCUGCCCGUAGCAGGGGGAUAAGCGGAAGAAAUUCCGUCUAAUACCGCGUAACAACCCAUGGAGGCAUCUCUGUGGGUUUAAAGGAAGCGAUUCCGGCUACGGAUGGUCAUGCGUCGCAUUAGCUUGUUGGCGGGGUAACGGCCCACCAAGGCGACGAUGCGUAGGGGUUCUGAGAGGAAGGUCCCCCACACUGGUACUGAGACACGGACCAGACUCCUACGGAAGGCAGCAG